AAACAUUUUAGGGGAUACUGUUUUUUAAAUUUUGUAGUUCAUCGGAGUUCUCCGGGAGUCCACCACCCAAAAACCCCUUUUCCUUUUCCCUUUUGCAACAAAACCAGUCCCUAUUCUUCCUGUUACCAAGACCCCAUCCCUUUUACACACCUCUAAUAACCCAUAUCUGUUCCUCUUCACUUGAACCACCAUUUCCCCACUAAACCACAACCAAAAACCUCUCUUCAUUUUGCUUAUUUUUCUAGCAAGCGAACAACCAGAAGAACACCACCCCCCUGUUCUUUUGUAGCUCCGUCCAACAAGUAUUAAGCCCUUUCUUCUCCUCCUCUUUCCAGUCAGCAAAUCAGACUACAACCGCCUCCAAACAGCUAGAAAUGAACCUUAAACAACCCCUUCUACUUUUCCGUUUUCCGGUUGUCUCAAAGUCGAAACGACCCCUUCCCUUUUUUUCCCUUUCAAGUUUUUGUUUGUUUUGUAGGUUGUCAGCGAGCUCCAUCUCCGGCGAACAAGCUUGUGGGUUGUGACAAUCGAUAGAGGUCACCAACAAUUCAAUUUCCGGCAAGGUUCUAAGCUCGGGUCUAUGUGAUUGCUCUGAUCAAUUUUUAGGGCUUCUGAAGGACUUUGAGAGAUUCUUCGAGAACUGUCUACUUUCAAAUGAAAAUCAACAAAAUCAAUUGGCUAGAGAAGCAGAGCUUGAACCUAAGCAUGUCAGGAUUUGUUUUCAAAACAAAAGGACACAAAUAAAGGUUACUUGGGUGGAUCAUGUUCAAGUAUAUGAAAAAAAUCAAGUACAUUAUAUCUUUAGAGACUUGUUGUGUGAUCGUCAAACAUACAGAGCUAAAAGAUGGAUUGUUACACUGCAAUUGAUGUUUGAAAGAUAUAAUUUUGUCAUGGGUGCAAUAUGCCCUACUAGGCAUGAUUUUAAAGGAGGUUUGAUUUUAUAUUCCUUUUUAUUUACUUACUACCUUUUUGAAAUGGCCUGUA